AUUGAACGCUGGCGGCAUGCUUUACACAUGCAAGUCGAACGGUAACAGGGUGCUUGCACCGCUGACGAGUGGCGAACGGGUGAGUAAUGCGUCGGAACAUGCCGAGUAGUGGGGGAUAACGCAGCGAAAGUUGUGCUAAUACCGCAUACGUACUGAGGUAGAAAGUGGGGGACCUUCGGGCCUCACGCUAUUCGAGCGGCCGACGUCUGAUUAGCUAGUAGGUGAGGUAAAGGCUCACCUAGGCGACGAUCAGUAGCGGGUCUGAGAGGAUGAUCCGCCACCCUGGGACUGAGACACGGCCCAGACUCCUACGGGAGGCAGCAGUGGGGAAUUUUGGACAAUGGGCGAAAGCCUGAUCCAGCCAUGCCGCGUGUCUGAAGAAGGCCUUCGGGUUGUAAAGGACUUUUGUCAGGGAGGAAAUCCCUAGUGCUAAUAACACUGGGGGAUGACAGUACCUGAAGAAUAAGCACCGGCUAACUACGUGCCAGCCGCCGCAGUAAAAC
rnacentral:rRNA from 1 species